GUGAUGUCGCGAGAAGGUCCACUGAACCUUAUCAUUUAGAGGAAGGAGAAGUCGUAACAAGGUUUUCCGUAGGUGAACCUGCAGAAGGGAUCAUUGUCAA
rnacentral:rRNA from 1 species